rnacentral:misc_RNA from 1 species
AAGUCGUAACAAGGUUUCCGUAGGUGAACCUGCGGAAGGAUCAUUAUUGAAUAAACCUGAUGUGACUGUUAGCUGGCUUUUCGAAGCAUGUGCUCGUCCAUCAUCUUUAUCUCUCCACCUGUGCACAUUUUGUAGUCUUGGAUACCACUCGAGGAAACUCGGAUUUUAGGAUCGCCGUGCUGUACAAGUCGGCUUUUCUUUCAUUUCCAAGACUAUGUUUUUAUAUACACCAAAGUAUGUUUAUAGAAUGUUAUCAAUGGGAACUUGUUUCCUAUAAAAUUAUACAACUUUCAGCAACGGAUCUCUUGGCUCUC